rnacentral:rRNA from 1 species
UACGAAGGGGGCUAGCGUUGCUCGGAAUCACUGGGCGUAAAGGGCGCGUAGGCGGCCGAUCAAGUCAGGGGUGAAAGCCUGUGGCUCAACCACAGAAUUGCCUUUGAUACUGUUCGGCUCGAGACCGGAAGAGGUAAGUGGAACUGCGAGUGUAGAGGUGAAAUUCGUAGAUAUUCGCAAGAACACCAGUGGCGAAGGCGGCUUACUGGUCCGGAACUGACGCUGAGGUGCGAAAGCGUGGGGAGCAACAGG